rnacentral:rRNA from 1 species
AGAGUUUGAUCCUGGCUCAGGACGAACGCUGGCGGCGUGCUUAACACAUGCAAGUCACGGGGGCCCGCAAGGGCAACCGGCGAACGGGUGCGUAACACGUGAGCAAUCUGCCGAUUUCUGGGGGAUAGCCGGCCCAACGGCCGGGUAAUACCGCAUACGCUCAUCGAGAGGAGUCUCUCGAUGAGGAAACCUCCGGGGGAAAUCGAGGAGCUCGCGGCCUAUCAGCUAGUUGGUGCGGUCACGGCGCACCAAGGCGAUGACGGGUAGCUGGUCUGAGAGGAUGGCCAGCCACAUUGGGACUGAGAGACGGCCCAGACUCCUACGGGAGGCAGCAGUGGAGAAUCUUGCGCAAUGGUCGAAAGACUGACGCAGCGACGCCGCGUGCGGGAGGAAGCUCUUCGGGGUGUAAACCGCUGUUGCCCGGAACGAAACCCACCUUUCGAGGUGAUUGACGGUACCGGGUGAGGAAGCACCGGCUAACUCUGUGCCAGCAGCCGCGGUAAUACAGAGGGUGCGAGCGUUGUCCGGAAUCACUGGGCGUAAAGGGCGCGUAGGUGGCCACCAUAAGGCCGCGGUGAAAGUCUGGGGCUCAACCCCGGAUCGGCCGCGGCGACUGUGGGGCUCGGGUACCGUAGAGGCAGAUGGAAUUCCGGGUGUAGCGGUGGAAUGCGUAGAGAUCCGGAAGAACACCAGUGGCGAAGGCGGUCUGCUGGGCGGUGGACGCGAGAGCGUCCCUUGACCGACACUGAGGCGCGACAGCGUGGGGAGCAAACAGGAUUAGAUACCCUAGUAGUCC